UUGACGUGGAAAAGUGAAAGAUCAUGAAAAACCUUAUGAAAAAGUGGGCAAAAACAUGAAAUUUGGACUUUUUAUAAGAAAGUUAUGGAGGAUUCAAGAUGUCUUCCCAUGGAAGAUAAAGAAUUUUGCAAAAAGGAGAGAAGAAAUGAGAGGAAGAUGAAAAAGGUGUUGAAACUUUAGAUAUUUAUAUCUAAAUUUAAUCCAAGUCUCGCACAAAUUACAAAAAUGCCCUUAACAAGGUGAUUCUAUCUUCCUUAUUUCCUCUGUGCAGUCUUUUACUCUUUGACACUAAGAAAAGGUCUAUAAUAGAUUACAAGUGUCACGACUCGGAACUCCCAUCGAGCCCGUGACAACCGCCGCAAAGUCUCUUCAGAAUUCUUUACCCCGAAUGUUGAUCGAAACCUCGCAAGGCUUCCGUAUCAGUUUUCUUACCUCCGCUGUGAUCGACAGUAACUAAAAUCGUGUUUUGAAACGAUAUGGACCAUUUUUCCAUCCAAAAACAAUGAAAAUUUAUUUCUACCUCACAGGGGUAUUUUAGUCAUUUUUUUUCGAAAAUACCGAAACCAGCCAAAAACAUGGUGUAAAAGUUAAAUAUAUUCAUACGUACUUUUAAGUAGAUAACUAAAGUAUAAAAUUUCUUUUACAGGGAAACGUGGGCCCCCAAUUGACCAAGAAGGUGUAGGGCUACGAACCUUUACUUUCUAGGAUGCAACUUCGAGAUUAAUUCUCAUCUUAAUCAACCAUCAACAAACUGUCCUGAGCCUGAAAAAUGGGUAGGAAGAAGGGUGAGAUUACAUAAUCCCAGUGAGUAAACAAUUACCAUCAAAAGCAUCUAAAGCCGAGUAGAUGGAGACAAUAUAAAAAAGUUUCAAUCUAUACCAAACAAUUUUUUUUCAUCAAAAUUUCCCGGCUUAUGAAUUUCUUAAACUUGGCCCCUGCCAGAAUCAUUCUCGAGGGUACCUUCGUCAAGGUAUUCCAUUGAGACCGCCAAGGCUGUUAAAUGUCCCAUACCUAUAAACAUGUUUUCGCAUCUGAGACACAACCGUUCCUUGGCGUUGGCUGAGUCUCACUCUCACGUGGUGGUCCUAACGUGAGGUGCACUUAAAUCUUACCUCAGGAAAUACUUUAUCCAACAUCUCCCCUUAGAGGUAAUUAUAUAAUUGGGUUACCGUGCCCCUCUCAUAGGCAAUCCACGGAAACCCCCACCACUGUAGUUACCGUUUAAUAUACCACCAGACCCAUAAAAUUUUCAGUAGCAUAAUAUGGCAAAUAAAAUUUAAUCCAAUCUACCGAGACCAAUCCAAAAUUGUUCAUAUAUUUCAUGCCAACCCCAAAAAUUUAGCCAUCAUGCUACCAUAGUGUCAUAAGCCACAAUUUCAAUAACAUAUAAAAUCAUAAAUUCAACACAGUCUCCAUAAACGUGAUUUUCCCAAAACAAUAUUUGUUUUCAAAACCAGUAUAAAUCUCAUUUUUGUUAAAAAACAUUUUAAUUGAAAAACAUAAUAUUUUAUAACUUAAACUCACCAUUCAAUAAAAGCAUCAAACAAGUAUAAUUACUCUAGAUACUUAAGACGAUAAAUUGUCCACUCACAGUAUUAGGAGUAGACAUACUCCUAUUUUCAAUCCGUGGGUACAAUCCUUUACCCGUAUCCAAUGGCUCACCACCUAGCCAUAAUCCUUGACACAUAUUCCAAUUAAAUUGUGUCUAACAGUCAUAAGCUAUUUCAGGCUUGAUAUAUAUGCAUGAUAUGAAAUGAAAAAUGCACGGGUAGCCAUCUAGACUCGGUAUUGGCCUAAGUCGAUUUUUCAUCCGAUAAAUUGGUCAAUGCGUCCAAUUUCAUUCCUACUUGCUCCAUUUCUUUUCCAAUCCCUCAAUUCACCAAACACAAACUAAUUAACACACAAUUAGGCAGAAUUUAUCUUCACUUUUCUUCUUGGAACUGUCGGCCAACAAUGGUACACUAACUCCGUGAUUUUUCCUUCUUAAUUUUCUCUCCAUAAUUCAUUAAUUCCUACACCAAAAGCUAUUAUUUCUUAAUCAAAUCACCUAGAAUAACAUCCCAUUCUUCCUCAUUAUUCACUUAGAGAAUUCGGCUACUGAUGGGCACCAAACCUUUGGUGGUUUUCUUCACUUGUUUUCAUCCUACACAUCAUUAAUCACCUAAAAGCACUAACAUACCUAAAAAUCAAACUAAUCCAAGAUCAUUCUCUCUCCAUACCCAUUUUGACCAGCCAUGAAUUCACCAUGAAAUCAUGCUUCUCAACCAUAGAAAUAAGAAAAUAAAGUAUGGGUAUUGUAAAUCUCAAGUAAAAAUAAAGAAUUUUCACUUUACCUUGCUUAAUUCCUUGGAUUUUCACACUUUCUCUUGAAUUUUCCCACCUAGGGUUUGUGUUCUUUCCUUUCCUCUUCACUUCAUGCUUUGGCCAGCCAUAUGGGUGAGACUAAGAGAGUUUUGAAUAGAUUUUACAAGGAAAUUCUAGAAUAAUCUAAGCUUAACACAUGGCAUGUUUCCAUUAGUCCAUGUGUAAUACUUAUCCAUUAAGCAAUCUCUCUCCACCACAUAAAAUGUUUCAAUUAUCCACAAUGAAAAAUGUUAAUGGCUGAAAUCCAUGGGUAUGACAUGUGUUAGGUGGUGUAAAAUUCCAAAAUUCCAACUUUGCCCCCGUAAACUUGUAAAAUUAUAGUUUUGCCCCUAGGACUCCAAAAAUGUCAAAAUUUAAAUUUUUCACCUCUCAAACUCAAAUCAUACUCCAAUGAGUCAUAUGUGAUCAAAAUCUUUUCUAAAAAUUCCCAUUUUAUCCUCUGGUGAUAAAAUUACCAUUUUACCCCUAGAACAUGAAAACUCCAAAUUGACUCCAAUUCAGCCUUCGAACUCCAAAUCAUCAUUUUAAGUCAUUCCUGAGCUGUAAAAAUUUUGAAUUUCACCCUAAAAUCCCUAUUUGACCUAGUUCGAGGCUUAGAUCAACAUUAUUGUACCUCUAGGUAUAGUAUCUACUUUUAUUGAUUUUUCGGGGCUCUCUUAGUAUGUAAACAUGCCAUCCAUCACAUGUAUGUCAUGACAUGUAGUUUAUAAGGCUAGGCUUUACAGCACUACCCCCCUUAAAAUAAAAUUUUGUCUUAAAAAUUUUUCUUAUCAAACUCAAAGAAAAUGUGGGGUAUUUUUUUCCAUUAUUUUGACAUACUUUCUAUUUAUCUCACAAGUAUGAAAUAUCAAUCUUCUUAAUCAUAUUAAUCCAUCUCGUACAGCUUAACCAUGCUGUAGAUCAUAUUUCCUUGAUAUUAUCUCCUUGACUAUUUCCCAGAGUCAUCCCUUUGUCCUCAAUCAUCUUUCAUGCCUCUAUAUUGCUUUGUAUCUUUCUUGUACUUCGACAUUAAUUUGUUACUUAAGAUAUAAAUUCAUUUGAACUUUGUAUACCUCAAGUUCUAUAUGUAAAUGCAUCCUAUUCAAUCUAACCUGACUUAACCUAACUCGGGGCCACACAGUGUUAGUGUGGAUUUCUUAAAACAACUUUAAAACCAAAAACUUUAAAAUCCAAAGUUUUAAAACCAAAAUCUCUGAUCUUUAAACCAUGCACUGAUACCACUUAAAUUGUCACGACCCAGAACACCCAUCGAGCCCGUGACAACAGUCGCGAAGUCUCGCUAGACAUUCUUUACCCCGAAUGCUGACUGAAACCUCGCAAGGCUUCCGUAUAAGUUUUCUUACCUCCCUUAUGAUCGACAGUAACUAAAAUCGUGUUUUGAAACGAUAUGGACCAUUUUCCCAUCCAAAAACAAUGAAAAUUUAUUUCUGCCUCACAAGGGUAUUUUAAUCAUUUUUUUGUUUCGAAAAUAUCGAAACUUGCCAAAAACAUGAUGUAAAAGAUAAAUAUAUUCAUACGUACUUUUAAGCAAAUAACUGAAGUAUAAAAUUUCUUUUACAGUGACACGUGGGCCCCUAACUGACCAAGAAGGUGUAGGGCUAUAAACCCUUACUUUCUAGGAUGCAACUCCGAGAUUAAUUCUCGUCUUAAUCAACUAUCAACAAACUGUCCUCGGCCUGAAAAAUGGGUAGGAAAAAGGGUGAGAUUACAUAAUCCCAGUGCGUAAACAAUUAGCAUCAAAAGCAUCUAAAGCCGAGUAGAUGGAGACAAUAUAAAAACGUUUCAAUCUAUACCAAACAAUUUCUUUUCAUCAAAAUUUCUCGGCUCAUGAAUUUCUUAAACUUGGCCCAUGCCUGAAUCAUUCUCGCGGGUACCUUCGUCAAGGUAUUCCACUGAGACAGCCAAGGCUGUUAAAUGUCCCAUACCUAUAAACAUGUUUUCGCAUCUGACACACAACCGUUCCUUGGCAUUGGCUAAGUCUCACUCUCACGUGGUGGUCCUAAUGUGAGGUGCACCCAAAUCUUACCUCAGGAGAUACUUUAUCCAACAUCUCCCCCCGGAGGUAAUUAUAUAAUUGGGUUACCGUGCCCCUUUCAUAGGCAAUCCACGGAAACCCCCACCACUGCAGUGACCGUUUAAUAUACCACCAGACCCAUAAAAUUUUUAGUAGCAUAAUAUGGCGAAUAAAAUUUAAUCCAAUCUACCGAGACCAAUCCAAAACUGUUCAUAUAUUUCAUGCCAACCCCAAAAAUUUAGCCAUCAUGCUACCAUAGUGUCAUAAGCCACAAUUUCAAUAACAUAUAAAAUCAUAAAUUCAACACAGUCUCCAUAAACUCAAUUUUCCCAAAACAAUAUUUGAUUUCAAAACCAGUAUAAAUCUCAUUUUUAUUAAAAAACAUUUUAAUUGGAAAACAUAAUAUUUUAUAACUUAAACUUACCAUUCAAUAAAAGCAUCAAACAAGUAUAAUUACUCUAGAUAUUUAAGACGAUAAAUUGUCCACUCAUAGUAUUAGGAGUAGAAAUACUCCUAUUUUCAAUCCGUGGGUACAAUCCUUUACCCGUAUCCAAUGGCUCACCACCUAGCCAUAAUCCUUGACACAUAUUCCAAUUAAAUUGUGUCUAACAGUCAAAAGCUAUUUUAGGCUCGAUAUAUAUGCAUGAUAUGAAAUGAAAAAUGCACGGGUAGCCAUCUAGACCCGGUAUUGGCCUAAGUCGAUUUUUCAUCCGAUAAAUUAGCCAAUGCAUCCAAUUUCAUUCCAACUUGCUCCAUUUCUUUUACAAUCCCUCAAUUCACCAAACACAAACUAAUUAAUACACAAUUAGGCAAAAUUUAUCUUCACUUUUCUUCUUGGAAUAUUCGGCCAACAAUGGUACACUAACUCCGUGAUUUUUCUUACUUAAUUUUCUCUCCAUAAUUCAUUAAUUCCUACACCAAAAACUAUUAUUUCUUAAUCAAAUCACCUAGAAUAACAUCUCGUUCUUCCUCAUUAUUCACUUAGAGAAUUCGGCUAUUGAUGGGCACCAAACCUUUGGUGGUUUUUUUCACUUGUUUUCAUGCUAGACAUCAUUAAUCACCUAAAAACACUAACAUACCUAAAAAUCAAACCAAUCCAAGAUCAUUCUCUCUCCAUACCCAUUUUGACCAGCCACGAAUUCACCAUGAAAUCAUGCUUCUCAACCAUAGAAAUAAGAAAAUAAAGCAUGGGUAUUGUAAAUCUCAAGUAAAAAUAAAGAAUUUUCACUUUACCUUGCUUAAUUCCUUGGAUUUUCACACUUUCUCUUGAAUUUUCCCACCUAGGGUUUGUGUUAUUUCCUU
rnacentral:lncRNA from 1 species